rnacentral:rRNA from 1 species
ACUGGCAGGCUAGAGUCUUGUAGAGGGGGGUAGAAUUCCAGGUGUAGCGGUGAAAUGCGUAGAGAUCUGGAGGAAUACCGGUGGCGAAGGCGGCCCCCUGGACAAAGACUGACGCUCAGGUGCGAAAGCGUGGGGAGCAAACAGGAUUAGAUACCCUGGUAGUCCACGCCGUAAACGAUGUCGACUUGGAGGUUGUGCCCUUGAGGCGUGGCUUCCGGAGCUAACGCGUUAAGUCGACCGCCUGGGGAGUACGGCCGCAAGGUUAAAACUCAAAUGAAUUGACGGGGGCCCGCACAAGCGGUGGAGCAUGUGGUUUAAUUCGAUGCAACGCGAAGAACCUUACCUA